AUUAUCGAAGUGUCAAUUGUCUAAUGUCUUAUACAUAUCUAUUUUCUUAUAGCUGCAUUUGGAAACAACCGGAAAGGAGGACAAUGCUGCCUAGUACAAAUGGAUUUGAGGUUUUUCUGUCAGUUGAGUUGGACUCUUUUGGAUUUCCUUAGCUUUCUUAGAGGUCAUUAUUGAUGCAUUUGUUGAGGCUGGACUUGUCCUAGAGAAGGACGCUAAACAUAAGUUAAAGUUGCAUGCCACAGUGAUGAAGACAAGCCAUAGGAGAGGG